UGGGGAAUAUUGGACAAUGGGCGGAAGCCUGAUCCAGCAACGCCGCGUGAGGGAUGACGGCCUUCGGGUUGUAAACCUCUUUCAGUACCGACGAAGCGAAAGUGACGGUAGGUACAGAAGAAGGACCGGCCAACUACGUGCCAGCAGCCGCGGUAAUACGUAGGGUCCGAGCGUUGUCCGGAAUUAUUGGGCGUAAAGGGCUCGUAGGCGGUUUGUCGCGUCGGGAGUGAAAACAGCGGGCUUAACUCGUUGCUUGCUUUCGAUACGGGCAGACUAGAGGUAUGCAGGGGGAGAAUGGAAUUCCUGGUGUAGCGGUGAAAUGCNCAGAUAUCAGGAGGAACACCGGUGGCGAAGGCGGUUCUCUGGGCAUUACCUGACGCUGAGGAGCGAAAGUGUGGGGAGCGAACAGGAUUAGAUACCCUGGUAGUCCAUCACCGUAAACGUU
rnacentral:rRNA from 1 species